rnacentral:misc_RNA from 1 species
AGAAAUUGUGUAAAUUUCAUGAAGAUUAAGAUUCUUUUAAUGAUUUAACAAUUGAUAUAACGGACCACAAAAUAUUUUAUGCUUGGUCAUUUGACAGAUCAUAAAUAUAUCAUUAUAUCAACAAAAUGCACAAACUAUUACAUACUGAUACUGAACAUAGUCUCCAACAACUGGUGUCCAUCCAAAGUUUCUUGAGGUGGCUUUGCAAGUUAGGACUUAGGAAACAAAAACAAAUCAUAUUUCUAAACUCCUCCAUAAAUUUGACAAUGAAAAAGUUUGGGACUGCCUUACAAUGUUGCAGACCUUAUAACCAUUCUUCCAUGAAAUCAACCUACAGUGAACACCAGACAGCCUCAUGGAACUAUAUCUCAAGACUAGGAUAUGGCCUUUAAUGUGUAAAACAGAAUCGCAACUCAUUUACCAACGCUCCCUUGGCCGGCCAUCAGGAAAUGCAGGAACUAGCAUUUUCUCUUCAUUCUUUGCCGAGUUAUUUAACUUGUUCACUGAUCUGUUCACAUGAAUCUUCACAUUUUCAUCAUCUUCAUCAAAGCCUGGGGGUGUAUCAUCUUCAUCACUCCAAUCAUCUUCAUAGUCACCACCACCUUCGUCAUCAUCAAGUCCAUCGCCAGUCAUAUAACUGUCAAUAUCAGACCAAUCUUCACCCUCCUCACUAGACGCUUCUUCUUGCUCUUCAUUUCUAUUUUCAAUUUCACCAUCCUUCGGAGCACCAUGCCUUGGGAAUCUGGGGACAGCAACAAGAGAACGAAGCUUCUCUUUGAUAAGCAACGAACGGUCUUUGUCUACCAACUGAGAAUUGUGGUAUGCUUCCCUCAGGAAAACUGAAUCUCUAUCACCUUUCAAGGACACAUAAAACAUAUCAGGGUGCCUUAUUAGCAUCCCUCUCACCUGCUGAGAGAAUCUAAACUCCUCACGAAAAUGAGUAAGGUGAUCCACCAGGGUCCUCUUCUCGACAGUGAGACUCAAAAUCUCAUGAACAACCCCACAAGCAUGCUUUUCCUUCUCUGGUGUACCUGAUCUCAAAUGGGAAAAGUCAGAAUAUGGGGAUAUAAAAGGCAUGUCUCUGAACUUACAGAUCCUUCUCAUUUCACUCUUAGAAAGCUGGAGACCCUUAGGCAGCUUCACUCUAUUGAAUUUUGGUGGUCUAUCAAUGAUUAGAUCUUUCUCUUCUAGCUCUCUAGCCCUAUUCUCCUCUUCUGAUAAUUCAGCAGCUGAUACUGCAAGCUCAGGAUCCCAAUGAGUUAAUUCUAGAGCAGGCCCCCGCUCAGUUGCAACAACUCUAAAAUAUUGUGGGUAUCUAUGACAGAUUGUGUCACGAAAUUCUAGAGGCAAUCCAAGAUCAGUCCUUAAAUGGGCUAUUUUCUCCAACAAAAUCCGUUUUUCCAAUGACAUCAUCAACAAUUUCCUCAACUUAACAACCAGCAAAUCCUCCAUCUCAUUUCUGACCUUCAACUCCUCCAGGUAGAGUCUUUCUGCCUCAGGUGUCAAUUUGAAUUGCAAUGAAAAGACCCCUUCUUCCACAAUUUCAAACACAGCGGGGAAUUUUUUCAACAAAGCAAUAAAUCGACGCCUUUUCUGAAGACCCAGUUCUCUUCUGUACCUACCCAAUUGCCUAAGCGACAUAGUUCUAUCAGGUUGAUUGACCAGAAUCUUCCUUAUCUUCAAUACUAAUUUAAGUUUCUUAUCCCUUUGAAUCACGUUAUCAAAGGGAAGCUCUUUUCGUCUCUUCACAACAGCUCUUACCGGUUCAAAUGGAGAAUGAGUUUUCCUCAAGGUACUUCCAAAAGGACCAUUUUUCUCUUGAAAAACCAAACUUUUUCCCAAAAACUGCGAUUUCUCUAGCUGGAAUGUUGAGGUGGAGAAAUGGGAUUUAAAAUAGAGUUUGGGUUUUUCAAGAAAAUUAGAUUUAUAUGAGAGAAAGAAUGGUAAAGAAGUAGAUGGUGAGCCAUUGGACGAGGAAACAAAUAAUUUGGGUUCCAUGUUCAAGCUCUGAGUAUUGGAUAAGGAUUGUAUUUUGAAGUAGAAUAAUACAGGCAAUAUCAAUUAAUAAAACGUAACAAAGUAGUAAGAGAAUUAAAGAGAAGGAAGAAGAAGAGGAACAGUUACCUUCUUUGAAGUGGAUGCUGAAGCUUGUAGUAGGGUUUUGGGUGCGCGACCAGAAUCUGGGUUUAUCCGCACUGGCCAAAGCCCUUUGCUAGAUAUUUUGCUCGUGCCAUUUUUAUUAUCUUCCUAAUUUAGACGCCAUUAGGAAACACAAGGUAGAACGGUCAUAUUCAUUAUUUAAUGCAUGAAACGACAACGUUUAAAACUUCAUCCUUCUGCUUCCUCACAAGACCUGCUAGAAGCGGCUUGCCGUUUCGACCGUUUCGAUGAAAUCCCAGUUUACCCAUCUCCCUACUCAGUCACUCUCAGACUUGGCACUCGUCUACUGCUGUUUCUCACUCAAUUGGUUUUCUUCAUCGCCAUCGUUGUGAAGUUGUUGACUCGGAGGCAGUAAAAAUGGGAAGAGGCGAGACCGUCGAGUCGUGCAGAGUUCGGAUCGCCGUCAAGCCGUGGCGAUAAGUCCACUCAAGUGGACCAUUUCAGCAAGUCAGCAGCUUCGGAUCGCAAGCUCAUCACCAUUUUCGUCUCCUUCUUCAUCGUAAUUCCCGCCGUAUCCGUACUGGUAUACUGUAUCAAAUAUGUUCCAAAUACGUACAGAACGGAAUCACAUGCACACCAAGAAGGGCGUGUUAAAACUGAUUUGAAUUACCAAGAAAUCCUCAGUAAGAAUUCAAAGGUUUCAAAUAAUGCAUCUCACCGGCAGUAUACAUAUCCAGUACUAGCAUACAUUACUCCCUGGAAUUCUAAAGGGUAUGAAAUGGCAAAGAGGUUCACGAACAAGUUUACGCAUUUAUCGCCUGUCUGGUAUGAUCUGAGGAGCCAAGGCACCGACUUAACACUGCAAGGGAGGCAUAAUGCUGAUAAAGGAUGGAUCUCAGAGCUUAGAAUUAAAGGAGAUGCUCUGGUAAUUAAAAAGGCUAUGUAACCCAUUUUCUCUUCUUUGCUUUGGUAAGUAAAAAAGAAUGUGGCUUUGGUAAGUGGAUGAAGGAAAUGUAGUUGGCUAGUUUGCUUAUCAUUGGUGUGAAUGGACAUUGUCUUUGGUAAUACGGAAUUAGAGCAUUUUUAGAGCCAAAAGAUGAUUUUUCUUUUUUUGGUGUUAUAAAUUACAUUGGUUGGGCUACUCUAGAAACUAUUACGUUCCAACUGGUUGGAAUUUGUUGUCAAUACUUAAAACUUGGCCUGCUUAAUGUUUUUGCCCAAUUUCAUUAUUGAUCUUGUAUAAACCUGCAUGGAUCUCUUAUAAUGUUAAGUAAGCCUUUUGGUUGUAGGUGUUACCUAGAGUUGUUUUGGAAGCAUUUCCAAAAGAGAUGCUUAUGAAGAAGAAACUGAGGGAUAAAGCUAUUGAGCUUAUAGUAUCAGAGUGCAAGGAAAUGGAAUAUGAUGGAAUUGUGCUCGAGUCCUGGUCAAGGUGGGCAGCUUAUGGCAUCUUGCGUGAUCCAGAUACGAGGAAUAAGGCCCUGAAGUUUAUAAAACAACUUGGGCAUGCACUGCACUCUGUGAGCUCAGCAAGGAGCAGUAAGCAACCUUUACAGUUGGUCUACGUUAUAGGGCCACCACAUUCAGAGAAGCUUCAAGUGCAUGACUUUGGCCCAGAGGAUCUUCAGAGCUUGAAUGAUGCUGUAGAUGGUUUCUCACUCAUGACCUAUGACUUCUCAAGUCCUCAUAAUCCUGGUCCAAAUGCACCUUUGAAGUGGAUCCGUUUCACCCUGCAGCUGCUCCUUGGCACCACUGGCAGUGAUGCCUGGACCCAAGCCCAUAAAAUAUUUCUUGGCAUCAAUUUUUACGGAAAUGAUUUUCUCCUUUCUGAAGGUAUAUUAUUUUGCAUUUGUUUUAUUUGUUGUGCUAAUUAAUAUUCUGGGGUUGACUUCAAUAAGUUUGGAGAAGGGACCAGUAGGGCCAUUUAACCGGUGGCCAAAUCCUGGUUCUUUUUCCCUUUCUUUUCAACUUAGCAGGUUUAUGCUUUUUGUAUGGUCUAAUCAAUGUUGUGAGAUGGCUGGAGGGGAUUCAAGUUAGGAUAGCAGAAUGCCAUAGAUUUUAGGACAACCAAUAUGGGAAAUUGGUCUUGAGAAUCUAAUGAUAAAUUAUAGUCUGUAGAUCUUAAAAUUUCAAUCUUGAUCUUGAUUAUUUUCCAAGUAAAAUAUGUAUAGUGUCAUAUUGAGCUUGUGACUGAUUUCCAGUUAGGACUUAGGAGAGUGGCAUUUGGAGGACAUUUUUAAGUCAGUGUACACUUUCAGGUUCUGGUGGGGGAGCUAUUAUUGGGAGAGAUUACCUCUCUUUAUUGGAGAAGCACAAGCCUGACUUGCGAUGGGAGGAGGGCAGUGCAGAGCAUUUUUUCCUCUAUGUUGAUGAUGAAAAUAAAAAUCAUGCGGUGUUCUACCCAUCUUUAACAUCAGUUUCUCUACGACUAGAGGAAGCUCGAAUAUGGGGAACGGGCAUCUCGAUCUGGGAAAUUGGGCAAGGUUUGGAUUGCUUUUUUGAUCUUUUGUGAGAAGCAAGUUUUGUUGUUUUUGUUAUUAAAAAAGAUCUUUAUAGGAUGUACCGUUCAUCUCCAACUG